GACGAACGCUGGCGGCGUGCUUAACACAUGCAAGUCGAACGGAAAGGCCCUGCUUUUGUGGGGUUCUCGAGUGGCGAACGGGUGAGUAACACGUGAGUAACCUGCCCUUGACUUUGGGAUAACUUCAGGAAACUGGGGCUAAUACCGGAUAGGAGCUCCUGCUGCAUGGUGGGGGUUGGAAAGUUUCGGCGGUUGGGGAUGGACUCGCGGCUUAUCAGCUUGUUGGUGGGGUAGUGGCUUACCAAGGCUUUGACGGGUAGCCGGCCUGAGAGGGUGACCGGCCUCAUUGGGACUGAGAUACGGCCCAGACUCCUACGGGAGGCAGCAGUGGGGAAUAUUGCAGAAUGGGCGGAAGCCUGAUGCAGCAACGCCGCGUGCGGGAUGACGGCCUUCGGGUUGUAAACCGCUUUCGCCUGUGACGAAGCGUGAGUGACGGUAAUGGGUAAAGAAGCACCGGCUAACUACGUG
rnacentral:rRNA from 1 species